GUUUGAUCAUGGCUCAGAUUGAACGCUGGUAGCAUGCUUAACACAUGCAAGUCGAACGGUACAGGACUAGCUUGCUAGUUGCUGACGAGUGGCGGACGGGUGAGUAACGCGUAGGAAUCUACCCAUCUGAGGGGGAUACCAGUUGGAAACGACUGUUAAUACCGCAUAGUAUCUGUGGAUUAAAGGUGGCUUUUGGGCUGUCGCAGAUGGAUGAGCCUGCGUUGGAUUAGCUAGUUGGUGGGGUAAGGGCCUACCAAGGCUACGAUCCAUAGCUGAUUUGAGAGGAUGAUCAGCCACAUUGGGACUGAGACACGGCCCAAACUCCUACGGGAGGCAGCAGUGAGGAAUAUUGGACAAUGGGGGCAACCCUGAUCCAGCAAUGCCAUGUGUGUGAAGAAGGCCUUAGGGUUGUAAAGCACUUUAGUUGGGGAAGAAAGCUUUGAGGUUAAUAGCCUUGAGGAAAAGGACGUUACCCAAAGAAUAAGCACCGGCUAACUCCGUGCCAGCAGCCGCGGUAAUACGGGGGGUGCAAGCGUUAAUCGGAAUUACUGGGCGUAAAGGGUCUGUAGGUGGUUUGUUAAGUCAGAUGUGAAAGCCUAG
rnacentral:rRNA from 1 species